GAUGAACGCUGGCGGCGUGCCUAAUACAUGCAAGUCGAGCGAAUGGAUUAAGAGCUUGCUCUUAUGAAGUUAGCGGCGGACGGGUGAGUAACACGUGGGUAACCUGCCCAUAAGACUGGGAUAACUCCGGGAAACCGGGGCUAAUACCGGAUAACAUUUUGAACCGCAUGGUUCGAAAUUGAAAGGCGGCUUCGGCCGUCACUUAGGGAUGGACCCGCGUCGCAUUAGCUAGUUGGUGAGGUAACGGCUCACCAAGGCAACGAUGCGUAGCCGACCUGAGAGGGUGAUCGGCCACACUGGGACUGAGACACGGCCCAGACUCCUACGGGAGGCAGCAGUAGGGAAUCUUCCGCAAUGGACGAAAGUCUGACGGAGCAACGCCGCGUGAGUGAUGAAGGCUUUCGGGUCGUAAAACUCUGUUGUUAGGGAAGAACAAGUGCUAGUUGAAUAAGCUGGCACCUUGACGGUACCUAACCAGAAAGCCACGGCUAACUACGUGCAGCAGCCGGAGUAA
rnacentral:rRNA from 1 species